rnacentral:lncRNA from 1 species
GAUGAAUUUUUCGAAUUAUUUUAUAAUUAAAGGCGUUAAGAAACCUUUGGUGACCCCACAGUUCAAAUGUCUAUCGUAGGUACGUCGUGAACAGUGGUCGUUACAGACAAACGUUCACGUAAAUUGUCCCAGUCAAUGGAUGAAUUUAAUGUGUCAAUCAAUGGCCACAGCCACACUGUUUUGAAUUUCAUUCUACUUCCAUUUAAACUCCAAAUUACCUUUCCAUUAUAUGAACUGCAUUUUCAAAAAUAUGUUUUGUCACCAAAAUCCUAAUAGAGCACGUAUCAUCAUAUAGUUACACCCAUGUCCGUUCGAUCGCCAAUCCCGCACUUCGUAGUCUUUUUGCUUUAGGUUUAAAUUAUGUACCUGGUGUACUCAAAUUUAAGGUGCGCAUAUCGUCUGGAUUUUCUUUAUUUUUUGUUCAUUACGGGUUUCUGUAUUAGGCAUUUUGAUAAAAUAUAAAAGUCACGC